UGAUUGAAUUAAACAAAGUUACUGAAGAAAACCGGAACCGAGCAACAAGGAGCGUGAAGACUGAGACCCAUCGCUCAGGACCUGAGGAUUCAGGGAGAAGACUCUACAGGAUGGUUGCUGUGAGUUUUGGGAUGCUGUGUGUUCUACAAGUCACUCUCAACAUCUCCCUGAGACCAGUCUAUAACAGAGGCAUCACCAAAGUGACUGCAGAGAGAGACCAGCUACAGACCAGUUACAACAACCUGACUAAAGAGAGAGACCAGAUACAAA